rnacentral:lncRNA from 1 species
UUUUUUUUUUUUUUUUUUUUUGAGACAGAGUUUCACUCUUGUUGCCUAAGCUGGAGUGCAGUGGCAUGAUCUCAGCUCACUGCAACCUCCACCUUCCAGUUUAAAGCGAUUCUUCUCCCUCAGCCUCCCGAGUAGCUGGGAUUACAGGUGCCCACUACUACGCCUGGCUAAUGUUUGCAUUUUUAGUAGAGACGGGGUUUCACCAUGUUGGCCAGACUGGUCUCAAACUCCUGACCUCAUGAUCUGCCCGCCUCAGCCUCCCAAAGUGCUGGGAUUACAGGCAUGAGCCAUCGUGCCUGGCCGUAGGUUGGCAUUUUAAGCUCACACAAUCCUACCAAGGUGACAGUGACUCUCCUUAUGAUAGGAUUGUGGGUCUGAGAGAGCUGUUGUAGCCUUUUACUCUCUCCAGUCAACAAAGAUUGGCAACUACAGGGUUACUCUCUUUGGAGUUUCUUUUCUCCUGUCUGCCACGUCUACAGACUACUGCUUGUUAAUGUGACAUGUAUGUAUUUUCUUCUUUGGCUUUGCCCCUCCUGCCACUGUACCAGACAGAAUCAAGGAAAUCCCCUACUACUGACACUCAUCCCAUUUCCAUUGUUUUAGAGAAGGAACUAGUUGUUGUUGUUGUUGUUGUUUCCGUGUCUCAGAUUAUGUCAUCUAUUUUGGAGUAUUUUGGUCUAAUGACUUUGGCUGCAAUAUGGGGCUAUCUGACUUUUAGUGCACCUGGCAGCUCUAUCUCCUAUUGUGGGGUUGAGGUUAAAGUGUCUUCUAGUUCUGUUGAAGAUAGUUUAUGUUUCUUUUCAUAUUUGAUGAUAAUUUUUUAAAUUAAGACCUGAUUUCUCCUUCAUUUGCAAACUGGAUAUCACUACUAAUAUUCUUUGACAAGAAGGAAGAGGAGGAGGAAGAAGAACAAAAGAAGCCUGCCUCUCUCUAGACUGCCCAUCUCAAUUAUAUUUUAAAAAUGAAGUUAAUAUCUGUCCUGCCUACAGUAGUGUUGUCAGAAUCAAAUGAAAUAAUAUUUGGUAAACUAUAAAAUGAAGACUGAAUUUGAAGGACUAUUUGUUUUCUUUUGUUGUAAUAGAGUUGUAUAUAGUCCAGAUGUCAACCAGGCCUCUUCAGCAUUUUUAUAGUCAAAGAUGUUUGAGAUAACUCCUAAUGCUCUUUUAUGGCUGCUCCUGUUGCCAGGGAAACAGCCUGCCUAGUAACAAUCUAACAGGCACCCCCCACCAACCAAAAAAAUAAAGGUUAUUGUAGCAUCUUCCCCUUUUAAAAAUCUUUAAAAUAAGAGAAUUCAGUUCUUCCCAAAGCAGUGUUUAAAAAAAUAAAUAAAGUAUUUAAACAAAAUCAAGGAUACCCUCCCGCCCAUCUAUCUUACAUUGUGUGGUAUGAGUGGCACCAUUUUGUGACCCAGGUAGGAUAGUGGAUGUACAGUUUAGAUACCCAUUUUAAAGCAGUUAGAAAGAUGUAACUUGACAAGGAAAGCAGUCUCUUUUGUCAUUCUACAUGUAGUGCUUCAGGAGUACUUGAUACAUGGAAGGAUUUUUUUUUAAGAAAAAAUGAAUAUGCCUCCGGAAAGUAUUUUGCUGCUUUUAAGAGCCAUAGAUUUGUCUUAAGUUAAUAAAUGCUGAAUAGAAAGCCUGAUGAUAAAGGUGGGUAGGUGGGUGGAUGGAUGAAUGAAGGAAAAAUGAGGAGAAAAGAGAAAGCAGAGGAGGGAUGAGACAGAGAACAAAAGAACACAGGCUCUACUGUUAUCAAAAAGCAGCCUCACCAAUGUGCGGGGAAUAAAUUGGAAGUCAGAUCAUUAAGACUUUUUUUCAUGCCACAUAGAAAGGCUGAUUUGUCCUAUAAUGUCUGUACUCAAAAGUCAUGACAAUAAAAUGAGACCUAGGAGUCCCAAGUGUUAUUAACUACCACAAUUUUGUAUAACUGAUUCUUCACUGGUCAUCCAGAAGUCUUUUUGAAAGUCCCAUUGCCACACCUGCCUCCUCAGUGAAAUAGAUGUAAAACCCACAAAGAGAGAAUCAAUGAGCCACACUCAUAUAGGAAGCAAAUAGAGUUGACUUCACCAGUGGAAAAUGCAAUUUCUUUUCAAAGUGAAAACUGAUCGAUUCACAACUCAAGGAAAGCAUGGAGUAAUUUCAGAACUCCAGUAAGAAGUGAUAAAUGUCUAGUUUGGAAUCAUGUGGCUGAAAAUCUUACCAUAUGCUUUCCACAGGCUGGGCAAGAGGAUAGAGCAUUGAAUAGAUGCUUUAAUUCCAUUUUUGACAAUGAAGCUUAUGCUUGUGAAAAUAUUUAUAUUUAACCGUGAGGUUAUGAUGAUUUUUCUCUACAUUUUUUGAGAAGCCUCUUCAGAAAAGAGCAAAGUAGUCUGCUCUAAUGGAUAGAAUAAGGAGUUGGGAAAAAGGAGACCUGGGUAUUAAUCUCAGCUCUACCACUACAUAUCUGUGAGACCCUAAAAUCUUUACCAUUCCCUCUACUAUUCCUAGCUCCCUUUUCUUUCACAGUCAACAAGUGUUUUUUGAACAAUUAUUUAGGUAAAUAAUAUACCUUAAAAGUUAGUACUGAUUCCCAUUAUCACACUCUGUUGUUCCCCAGAUGCUCUUUUGAGGAAUUGACUUGGUUAAUACAGUUAAUAUUAUGAUACUUAUAAUAAUAAUUUUGAGAAUUAUCAGCAUGAGACAAUUUAUUUGCAUAAUAGCUUUUUGUUAUUAUCCAGAAUACAUUUAGUUCUGGAUUUUGUUUGAUAUUGUGAAUGCAAACUUUUUUUGUAUUAGCCUAAAUAAAAUGAAAUGCAGUUAUAGAAAUAUUUCUGCUGCUAGAAAAAAAUUACAUACAGCCAGUAUACAUAUUUAGAGGUUCUGUAGUCUUCUAGACUGUAAAGGUAGAUGGCCAUGAGGGGAAAUCUGAGUGUAUAGGAUGUGUUUCGUGUUCCCACUGUAUAUGCGUUAUUACCCUUGUCUGAGUGGUUGUUUAAACUGUCAUCUGUAAAACUAAUCUGUAAAAUGAGAUCUGGGUUCUGACCUAUCUCUUACAGUCCAUAAUGUUGUGAUUCUAAGAAUAUUUCAUUCCUUAUUGCUUUCUGCCCUCUAUUCUGACCAAUGCUGUAACCACAAAUAAAAACAUUACUUGCCCUAUGAGAAAGAAUAGACCUUAUACUCAUUUUAACAGUUUAUUAUAACUCAUUUUGACCACUCCCCCCUCAAAAAAAAAAUGUCCCUAGAAAACUAGUGUGACCAUAGGGAUCAGAUGACCUCAUGUUACUGGGUGAAACCAGGAAGCUACCAUAUACAUAGAAAAGUUGGUUGCUAAGUAUGGUGUGGGAAUUUGGGAGGAAUUUAUCUGCUCAAAAACUCUCACCUACUUACUAGAUCUAGUGUUUGAAAUGUUAGCCUUGGAGAUUCUCCCUUAAAAAUAUCAUUGAGAAAGCAAAGAGAAUUCCCAGGUAAACGUAUAGGUAGCCCCUUCUAAAAUGCAAAUGCCCUUUGAAGGCUGGCUUUAUUAAUCUGGCCAUUAACCCCCUAGCUAAUCAUAUGCACUUCUCACAGUGACCUGAAAACAGACAUUCCUUCUCUAAAUGUGUUCUGAAUGUCAGUUGUAAACCAGUUACUACACUAAGCCCUGAUGAUACAAAUAUGAAAAAUCCUGUUUCCAGGGAAUUUACUUUCUAAUGAGGAACCAAAGUGCUCAAAAGCAGUCAUAAAUUUCACAGCAAAAUAACCCACCUAAUUAACUGUUCCAUUACAAACACUUGGAAAUCUAGAUAAAAUAUUUAUUUUGGAAAUAUAUGUUACAGGUGAAAAAGCAAGAAUUAAAACUAGUUAUCUGAAUGUAAAAGGAAUCAACAGCUAAAUCAAGCUUGAAGUCUUCCUGUCCAAGGGAUAUGAAAGGUACCUUAACCUUUGGUUUUGGCUUUGGUUUUAGUUUUGUUUGUUUGGUCAACAUAAAUUACAGCUAGGGGAAGAGAUAAACAGGGGUUUAGGUUGUAGACUAUAUGCAUGAGAGAUUGCUGGAAGUGGGCUCCAUCCACAAAGGAGGGAACGGGAAAGGGUCUGUCCUGACUGGACCACAAAUAUAAAAUCUCAUGCCCUCUCAUUAUGUUGAUAAGCCCCAUAGGUCCAUAAAAGAAAUAAAAUGCCAAAACAUACCAUGAAGACACUUUCACAAUCCAGGACACACACAUGACUCCCACAAUAGAAAACCACACUGAAGACAAAUCUCACAAUUUAAAACAAGCUGUAAACUACAGGAAACAGUUGGCAUUCUAGGAGAGUGCUUGCCUGAGGAACUAGAUGGUGGUAUGUUAUUCUGGCAUAUAGGGAACAGAAUAAGAUAUGGGGGUAGGAAGAUGUUUUUAAAAGCAAAGUUAGGCAUUCAAUGAUGACUUCAUACGUGUGCCUGGGCUGGCCUUGAAUGGGAGGUUUUAAUUUAGGGAACUUAAAGGAUUUCAUAAUAUUGGAGUAUAAAUGGCUGGAAAUGAGGAUGCUAUUUAAUAGACUCUCUUAGAUUUUUCAUAAAAUGCUAAUAGAAUCCCACAGGAAGUGUGUAUUCUAAAAUGUUAUUGUAUAUGUUAUAAAAGCUUUGUGAAAUAAAGUGAUGUUAAGCUAAUAUUGUAAAGUUAAAAAUGUUUUCAGUCAUCUGUAAUCUCAUUUCCCAAGUAAAACUGUUUUCAUUUUUCCAU